UGUGGGGCGGUUCAGUCCUGCCAUCCCGUCUCGGCGCAUGCGUUCGUCCACCCGUAAGCUUCACCUUAGAUAAAGUGCUACAACAUUAUGAGUGUGUGUGAAAUCAUAGAAAAUAUAUUAUACAGUAGAAAAAUAAGAUAAAAACCCCAAUACAAAAUAUAUAUCUAUUAGAAUGUCGAAAAUGACCAAAGCGGCGAGAAUAACAUAUAUUAGCCUCAUACUAUGACCUAUGUCGAGACUCAUUCUUAAGGAUGGGAUUGACAAUAAUACUCAGAGUGUGAUAUGGUUACUUUAGUGUGUCGGUAAGGAAUUAAAGGCCACUAGUGU